rnacentral:rRNA from 1 species
UACGAAGGGGGCGAGCGUUGUUCGGAAUUACUGGGCGUAAAGGGCGCGUAGGCGGCCCCUUUUGUCGCGUGUGAAAGCCCCGGGCUCAACCUGGGAGGUGCGCGCGAAACGGGGGGGCUUGAGUUCGGGAGAGGAGAGUGGAAUUCCCGAGUGUAGAGGUGAAAUUCGUAGAUAUUGGGAAGAACACCGGUGGCGAAGGCGGCUCUCUGGACCGAGACUGACGCUGAGGCGCGAAAGCGUGGGGAGCAAACAGG